rnacentral:lncRNA from 11 species
ACUGAUAGCAAUUCAGUAACUGAAAUCAGUGAAAUAAUAAUCAUGUUUAUACCGGCUGUAGCAUUGGCUAUCUAUCUAAAGUUGAACAGAGUUUUGGAGCCCGCUUUGAUUUUCCCAGCCAGCACAUCUUAUCUUCCAUCCUUUAGCAAGAUGUUGUACAAGAAGACGGAAGGAAAUGCGUGAUCCGCCGUCCAAUCUGAU